rnacentral:lncRNA from 1 species
UGUUAAUCUCAAUAUCUUCCUGCAGUUAUUGCCUCAAUAUCAUUUUUUAGAGAUGCCUUUUCUGACUACCUCACAUGAACUUGCAUCCCACCCUCUCAAUAUGUUUUUAUUUCUCUUCUUUGCUUAAUUUUCUUCAUAGCAUUUUUUUGGCACCUGACAUACUAUGUAUUUACUUGACUAUUAUCUCUCUCUUCCCCCAAAAUAAUGUAAACUUGAUAAGAACAGUGACGUGCCUGUUUUUUUUUCCAGCUACAUCUCCAGCUCCCAGAACAGUGCAUGGUACAGA